AAAAUUACCCUCGAUUCCAGAGCCUUCGACAGUAAAUAAUAAAUUGAAAUCAAUUUAUUAUUUACUGUCGAAGGCUCUGGAAUCCAGGGUA